ACUGAACCCAGCUAGCCUCGCAUAGUUUCUAUAAAACAUGUAAGCAUCGUCUUUUGUAGAGAACACCUGCCUCACUAUUGUCACAAACACAGGGGCUAUAUUUGGAUCCUGCGGGGGGCACAAAAUUGAAUUUGCAAUCCAUGUCAAUCUAAGUUGCAAUUACCUAGUAUCACAUUACCAAACAAAACUAAAUCACAUUAUGCAACUUGAAUCACAUUUUUUUACAAACAAAAAUUGAGUUUUGCAAUCCAUAUGAACCUAAGUUGCAAUUACCCAGUAUCUAAACUUGCAACUCGAACCACACCUUUUUUUGUCUCAACUUUGCACGGGCCAGCAUAGCUUUUUUUUAUUUACAGAGUGCUUACCGGGUAGACAACCUGCGCAGCGUCCGGAGUCCGCAGCGAUCCUGGAGGCAGGGCGGCGGGUGGCGUCAGCAUCGUCACAUGAUGAAGCGGAUCAGCAGAUUCAGCUUCAGAGUUUUGCGCAGGAGCUUGUGCAGCAGCAGGGGUUGUUGUUGGGGCGGCAACAGUGGAAAACGACACCAUUGACAACGGCGCAUUUGCUUCUCCAUCCGAGGAGCAUCGAGUUCUGAAAUGCCGCCGUAUAAUCUCCAAGCGCAACAAGCGCCUGGGAAUCGCGGUGGGGCGCUAGGGCCGGCGAUGGAGGCUGGAUCAGCGACGGCGAUGCCAUGCCCCCAGGUGGAUUCUCACCCUCUCCCGCACAACCAGAUCGGGGGGCGCCCUCGUUGGAGGUGGCGGCAGCGGCAGCUGAGGCGGCGACGGCGGCGGUCCCCCCACCUGGGCGAUUCGGAUGUUCCUCGAUCUAUUCAAAAAACUCACCCCCCCCCUCAUUUAUUUUAUCCAGACGCCCCUUUUUUAUUUUAUCCAGACGCCCCUUUUUCGAAGUCAUCGCUUAAGGUUGCAAUUGGAUAGCUAUAAUCAGUGCAACUGGUAACACAAAAUGUUGCAAUUUGUUGAUCAAUCAUGGUGGGCCACGCCAGGCAGACCUAGAUGUUGGGGAGCGGGGUGGGGGGCUCGGGUUUGGCCCAUGUGCGGGCAUGUGGGCCGUGUCGGGCCGGGGCGCGCACGGAGGUGCGCAGGCUGGGAGGCGCGCGGGGGGCACGCAGGCCGGGAGGGGGUAUGUGUAUUUGCUGUAGCAAAUGCAAUAAGUUGCAUUUUAGCCUCGCCAUAUAUAUAGUAGGGCUACUAGUUACCUAGAUAUGAAAUAAACUAUUCCAUACCCGAACCCCGAACCCAACCCCGGUCCCGACCCGACACCGCGCCGAGCCACCUCCGUCCGGUUUUCUCUCCUCCCGGUUCCUCUUUGAAGGUUUUUUUUCCCUACCCCAGCUAGUAACAGAUCGCCCACAUCCACGAUCCUGCGGCCCUGCCUUCCGCCGACCGCUCCGAUCUCGCGAUCCUGCGUCCCGCCGGCGACCCAUGCCCCGCCCCACGCCGUCCCGGUGAGGUUCUGCGCCGACCGCUCCCGUCCCACUCCUGCGUCGCCGGCUCCCGCGACUCCCUGCGCCGUCGGCUCCCGUCACGCCUGCACCGCCGAUUGCCCCGGUGUUCGUCAUCACCAGCAAGAUUAAUUGUCGCACGACGACUGGGGCCACCUCCAUCUGCUGCGGCAGGUGUGGCGUGGUACAUUUGGGCAUGAGGGGAGGAUGCUGUCAUGAGACGUAGUCGUUGCCAAGUACGUCAGGUUGCCACCACCACCAAAGUCGCAGUAGCCGAAGACAACGGCUGUGAACUAGGCUGGUUCAUGGUGAGGAUACUGUGCGAGUAUAUCUUCUGUCCUCGAUUGUAUCAGGUGGAGCAAGAAGUAGCAUGUUUGGUUAUAGUACUUGGUUGCAUGUAAAUUCUUUGAGCGAAUGCCUAUACUCUGCGAAUUAAGUUGUAUAUUGCAUUUUUAACAACUGUUUUCCCUAUCAAAUAGUUUGAUUAUAACUGUAUGCAACGAUUCAUGAAUCAAGUUGUAUAUUGCGAAUUAAGUUUGAUUAUAACUGGUAUGCAACAUUGUACUAUCCUUACUCUUCAAAAUUCAUGAUCAAUUCAAGCACACUUCUUCUGGUAUGUUUUAUAUUUAUUAAUGCAUACUUCUGAGUUUACAUUAAAAAAGGUGCAACUUGCUGUUUGAUUACAAGCAAAACAGGUGCUUCGUGAGACGUCUCUGCAGAGCAGUUUCAGCAAUAGGUGGUGUGGUUGUUUGCCAUCAUCAACCACACGGCGGCAUCUCUGACUUCAUAUGGCUGUGCAGCUCUUGGCAGGAAAUGGGUGAAUUCAAGGAGCUGAUGCACAGCGGUGGUGCUGUGGAGAGGUGAGCUCGGGCAGACGAAGACCGGCCAGCUCCUCUGUUGGUCUUGAGCCAAGGGUAUAAAAGUCAUUUUAUUCCUGGUUUAUGUGCUGAAGAGAGACCAGAGUAAGCUUUCGGUUGAAAAAACUGACAGAAUGCCAAUUUCAGUUAACGUCCGCACCUUUCAGUGGUAUUUUACGGGACCGAGGUGUUUCGAUAGUAUUUUGCGAAAGUCACGAUCUUUCAGUGCUACACAACCAAUUUUCCCUUUAUGUUUACCUGUUUGUAUGGCCUUCAUCUCUUUGAAUGAACUGCUGCAUCUCUUGCUUUGUUUGAAAGAUGCAUUUCUUUGUGGCUUUCAGGGUAGAGCCUCUGAAUAGGUCUGCAGAUGCUUGUUUUAGCCACUGGCUAUGUAUCCUGAUGCAGGAAAUCAGAAGGUAACUACUUGCAGCUCAGUCAUCCAAAAAUGAUAAUUCUUAGGGCUAGGCGGCUAGCAGUUCAACAAUCACUGAAGCACAUGUGAAAUUCUUCAAUACUCAUUCAAACACAAGUCCCUGGAAACAAGGCUUUAGAGAUAACAGUGGUGGCUUUAGAAUUCUUUGCAUGAAGUUGGGAUAAUGAAUAAAAGAUGCUUGAUACAGACUUAAAAAAUCUAGCACCAUUUAGGAGUCUGCACAGAGAGAGUAGGCAUGGAUUGCCUUUCUGGUUCAAGGUAAAGCCUUGCUUUCUGUAUAUAUAUGAAUGUGCUCUGGCUACUACACAUUCAAGUUACGGUGUGAUUGCUAUUCUCAUUUGCUUUGCUGUGACUUAAUGAUUGCCAUUCUCAUUCAGCUGAGGAAGAAGAAAAAGAUGGUAGCCAAGCGGGACUGAAGCAACAUCAAAGAGCGAGAUAAGAGGCAGAUAAGAGAUGCUGCCUGCAGGUUUGUUUGAUGAAAAACUGAUCCUUUUUGUGCCAUCAAGUUAUUUGAACUUAUAAGAGUAAUAGACCUUAGCAUCCAGCAUGACAACUGUUAAGAUGUAGGAAAUAAGAUUCAUGAGGGAUGGCAUUGCUCAUCUACUUGUUUUGUUAGAUACAUGUUUUCUGUAGGACUCUAAUAAUGUGUAUGGAUGUAACAGGAUGUAACUAUGUAUGGAUUAAUAAAGAAAUAGAAGAAAUUUUGAUUUCUUCUUUUUUAAUUCCA